UAGCUCAGUGGUUAGAGUGCUUGUUUAGCAAGCAUGAACCCUGGGUUCUAUCCCCAG
rnacentral:tRNA from 1 species